rnacentral:lncRNA from 1 species
AGAAGAGGAGGAGGAGGAGGAGGAAGAAGAAAGAUGGUGAGAUAUCCUGCAGGAGACCAGGGCCAGGAGGGUGGAGGCCUCUCAAGAAGAGGGAAGCAUGAGGAAGCUCCAGGGCAGGAUGGUUUACCUGCCUGGACAGCAAGAUGAUGGCUACACUAGCCCCCAUUCUCUGUCCUUCACAGGGCGCCUGGAUUUGCCCACCAGAUCUCCUCACCUCUUGCCCUUCACCUCCUGCUGUACCUACAAGGUCUCCCCGAUUCUCAUCUGCCCAUAAUCAUGGACACAGCCCCAGGAUGUGCAGGGAGUCUCCUGUGAUGCCUCCUUCCGGCCACCGCCCAGCCAGGGGAAAUGUACCUGGCAUUUUCGUCCGUCCACGCUCCUGAGGUCCUCCUCAAACUCCACUCCCACAUCAAACUGCACAGUGUAGUUUCGGAAGGUGCUGAGCGUC